rnacentral:ncRNA from 1 species
UAUAUUUGCCGCUCAAUACAUAAUAAUCAUUAAAAUUAAUAUUGGCAUG